UUUCUUCAUUUAAUGCCUUAGUGUUAUGGUUAUCAAAUGAUUAGCAUGAAGUACAUUUUACUAACUUUUAUUCAUUCAUCAAUUUUUAUUUCUAGACCUUCACAGCUGUAAUCCUGAUUUCUUCAUCUUAAAGAACCAUCUUAAACAUCAUCAGUGUUUAAUAUGAGCAACACAAAUAGAUGGGCACGGAAGAGUUAAAUAUCGACACCCAGCAAAGCAAGGGGAUGAAGCUGCAGAUCUGGUGGUGGCAGAGAAAGAGGGACAGAAGCUUCCAGGAACUGUGAAAAUUCUACCUGAACCAUGUUGGAGGUUUCACUGAGAUGCCCCAGCUGAUGCACCUGAUGGAGACAAGGAAACUAAACCUUGUGGGCUGGUUAGUUCCAGGCCUGUCUUCUCCUGGUUACUGGAUUGAAUUCCAAAUGACAACAGAACUUCCAUUUUGCUGACUCUUAGUUUUUCCUCAGUUUCUUUUCUUCCACCUUUCUGUUGAUUUUGUGUUUUUAUAUUUGUUUCUGUCUUGGACUCAAGUGAUGUUACUUUCUCUUGGCAGCAUCAGUGAUUGGAAAUUUGGUCUUACAAUCUUACCAUUUCAUGAUAUAUGUUGGAUGAAUGAUAGAGAUAGUGGAGAAUAUAGUUUGUUGAUAUUUUUGGUUUUUUUUUUUGUUUGUUUGUUUGCUAUUUAUGAGCUUAAGUCAAUUAGGAAUUUUAUACCAAUUAGAAUGAAGAAGGUCUCUCUGAGAUUUCAACUGGGGGGUUUAGUGUUUAAUAUUGUCCUGUGGCUGAAAUUGUGGAACAGAAGGUAUAGGUUCUCUCUGUGUCUGUGUACCUGUACUUAAUAAAAGGAC